rnacentral:rRNA from 1 species
UACGUAGGGGGCAAGCGUUGUUCGGAUUCAUUGGGCGUAAAGGGUGCGUAGGUGGCGUGGUAAGUCUGGUGUGAAAUCCCGGGGCUCAACCCCGGAACUGCACUGGAUACUGCCAUGCUUGAGUACUGGAGAGGAGAUUGGAAUUUACGGUGUAGCAGUGAAAUGCGUAGAUAUCGUAAGGAAGACCAGUGGCGAAGGCGAAUCUCUGGACAGUUACUGACACUGAGGCACGAAGGCCAGAGGAGCAAACGGG